rnacentral:rRNA from 1 species
AAAAGGCUGGCUGCUACGGUAUGUACUGUCUGGCUGGGUCUUACCUCUUGGUGAACCGGCGUGCCCUUUAUUGGGGGGGGCCGGGAACCCGGACUUUUACCUUGAGAAAUUAAAGUGUUCAAAGCAGGCUUACGCCCCAAUACAUUAACAUGGAAUAAUAAAAUAAGAACGGCGGACCUAUUUUGGUGGGUUCCAAGAACGCCCGAAUGAUUAAAAAGGAAUAGUGGGGA